GAUUCAGUUCAAGGAUAGUAUAGAAUCCCUAAACUUGGUUACAGAACCUCCUAAAGCUGCCUUCCAGGUGAACAUAUCUGUUUAACAACCAAGAACUUUUUGAUGUAAGAACCUUUCAACAGUGGAACCCUCUGCUAUGGAGUGUUGUGGAGGCUCCUUCUUUGGAGGCGUUUAAACAGAGAUUGGAUGGUCAUCUGUUGGGGGUGCUUUGAUUGUACUUUUCCUCCAUGGUAGGGGGUUGGACUAGAUGGCCCAUGUGGUCUCUUCCAACUCUAUGAUUCUAUAAUUCUAUGAUUCUAAGACACCAUGCACUGCCUUGCUUCUUUCUAGAUAAGGAAAGACUAUAUUUGUUAAUCUACUCCUAGUUCUACAAAAUAUCAGCAUGUAAACACUGAAUAUCUAUCUGCCAUGAUCUUCCACCUCAGUUCAGAGCUGCUUUAAUUUCCAAUACAAGUUCCUUGGGGUAGGCUAGAGAUAUAGGAAACAGUUUAUCACUACGGUAUCUAUGGAAGCUGAUGCUCUGGACUGGCCACAGCACAACUAUGAUGGUGUCCAGACACACCCAACCGAACUGGUGGCAGCACAAUGUUGGUGUCAAGAUUGCACCAAUCCUGCAGAACCAUUAUUCUCAUCUUCUACCUCUCCUAGCUGAUUGUGGUGCUCUGUGUGACCACCUGUCUGGGCGCACACACAGCGACCAAUAAAGGAGUAGAUGGACCCUCUGCUUCCUGCUGGUUGUGUGGGUGCCCCAUUCUGACAUCAGAGAUUACCAUAUUGGCCAGAAACUUGCAGUGAGCUCCAUGGCUGAUGGGGAGCAAUGAAAACAAAGGGACAGAUAUCCUCUCCACAUGCAUUAAUUAGUGCAAGGUGUCCAUCUGGACCGGCUGAUGGUACAAAUGUCUGUUUAGACUGGAAUUAGCUGGACCCAGUCGAUCUGUCUAGAUUGCUAUGAUGUUCUGGUAGAUUCCAGUGUUUUCAGCAAACUAUGGACUUUCCCCUGAUUUUACCUGAAAUGGGGCAAAGUUGGAUUAAGGCAAGAAAACUAGGAUACUCACUGGAAAUUGGCAUGUGUCACUGGGACAGCCAGCACCGAAUUUGAGAUCUCUGCUACCUGAUUACCUCCUUCCACCUGCCUGGAUCUUUAGCUCUGAAAAAGAAGACACUCUUGGAUAUAACGAUAUAUAACAAUUUCAAGUUUGUUGCACAGCAGAUGGAGGGCAUGGAUUGAUGAGAAGACCAAAAGAGAAAGGGAAGGAAGAAGCUACCAUUGUCUCAUCUACCAGAACAGUAGUGAAUUUAAACCUGCAUGAGGGGCAUGCAACUUUGCAGUCUUCACAUGCAAACUGACUUUAAAAUGGCAAAGAAUUUGGAUCUACCCCUUAUUGGUCCAGGACAAACCCAAGAGAACAAAGCUUUGCACAUCUAAAAGAUGAAAAACUGUGAAAAAACAAAUCACGCCCAAUGAAUCAAAUAAGGGAAUAUCUUUCUUCCUUUCUGUGUUUUUAUAACAGUAUCUGAAGAUAAAUAGUGCAUAGUACAUUAAUGUUCCUGGUGUUCUACCUCCCACAGAUGUGGUUGUGUUUGAACUGAUGCAUUACAUUUGCCUGAGUGCCUAGCAAUGAAUUUUUUUUGAAGAACACAGCAGAAAGAAACAUGUCUUCAGGGAAAAAAGUAAAAGAAAACUGCAGAAAAUAAACUUGAGCAUAAUGCAGCAUAUUGAAGAUAAUACAUAUUGCUGAAUGGAAGUCUUUCUUUCCAUCUUAGGGUGUGAUUUUAAAGAAAAGAAUUCUGUUUAUGCGAUGGCAUUGUAGUUCAAUAGGUUUCAUUCUAUAAGAGAAAAUGUUAUCCAGAGGUGAUUGGUGUGCAAAGGUAGGGAACUUGAAGGGAAAACUCUCCACAGUGAACAACAGCUGGCUUUAAUUUUUACAAAACCCAAAUCAUAGAAUCAAGAAAUUAUAGAGCUGAAAGAGACUACAUGGGCCAUCUACUCCAACCCCUUGCCAUGCAAAAAAGCACAAUCAAAUGACCCUCGAUUGAUGUCCAUUAAACCCCGUUUUAAAACCUCCAAAGAAGGGGCUUCCACUUCACUCCAAGGCAUAGUGUUUCCUCUUACUUGUGACAUCCUUUCAGAUAUUUAAACAUGGUGAUCAUGUCUUCUUUCAACCUUCUCUUCUGCAGACUAAACAGACCCAGCUCUUUAAGAGGAUAUGGUCUCCAGGCCUUUGAUUGACCUCUGGACAUGUUCCAGUGUGUCAAUAUCCCUCUUGAAUUGUGAUGCCCAGAAUUGAACAUAGUAUUCUAGGUGAGGUCUGACCAAAGCAGAAGAGAUUGGCACUAUUACUUCCCUUGAUCUAGACACUAUACUCCUUCUGAUGCAGCCCAAAAUCCCAUUGGUUUUUUUUAGCUGCUGCAUCACAUUGUUGGUUCAUGUUCAACUUGCCCAUGAAGACACCAAGAUCUUUUUCACAGGUUCUGCUGUUGAGCCAGGCAUCACAUAUCUUGUAUUUGUGCAUUUCUUUUUUCUGCCUAAGUAUAGUAUCCUACAUUUCUCCUUAUUGAUAUUCAUUUUGUUAAUUUUGGCCCAGUUC